GUAGGUGGCAAGCGUUGUCCGGAAUUAUUGGGCGUAAAGCGCGCGCAGGCGGUUCUUUAAGUCUGAUGUGAAAGCCCACGGCUCAACCGUGGAGGGUCAUUGGAAACUGGAGAACUUGAGUACAGAAGAGGAAAGCGGAAUUCCACGUGUAGCGGUGAAAUGCGUAGAGAUGUGGAGGAACACCAGUGGCGAAGGCGGCUUUCUGGUCUGUAACUGACGCUGAGGCGCGAAAGCGUGGGGAGCAAACAGGAUUAGGUACCCUGGUAGUCCACGCCGUAAACGAUGAGUGCUAAGUGUUAGGGGGUUUCCGCCCCCUUAGUGCUGCAGCUAACGCAUUAAGCACUCCGCCUGGGGAUACGGCCGCAGGCUG
rnacentral:rRNA from 1 species